rnacentral:rRNA from 1 species
AUUGAACGCCGGCGGCAGGCUUAACACAUGCAAGUCGAGCGGGGUGAGGUGCUUCGGUACUGAUCCUAGCGGCGGACGGGUGAGUAAUGCUUAGGAAUCUGCCAUUUAGUGGGGGACGACAUUCCGAAAGGGAUGCUAAUACCGCAUACGUCCUACGGGAGAAAGCAGGGGAUCUUCGGACCUUGCGCUAAAUGAUGAGCCUAAGUCGGAUUAGCUAGUUGGUGGGGUAAAGGCCUACCAAGGCGACGAUCUGUAGCGGGUCUGAGAGGAUGAUCCGCCACACUGGGACUGAGACACGGCCCAGACUCCUACGGGAGGCAGCAGUGGGGAAUAUUGGACAAUGGGCGGAAGCCUGAUCCAGCCAUGCCGCGUGUGUGAAGAAGGCCUUUUGGUUGUAAAGCACUUUAAGCGAGGAGGAGGCUACCUAGAUUAAUACUCUGGGAUAGUGGACGUUACUCGCAGAAUAAGCACCGGCUAACUCUGUGCCAGCCGCCGCCGUAAGAC